AAAAGGUAAAUACAUACCUUUUCAUUCAGAAAGCUGUUCCCUGAAAGAGUUGGGAGGCUUUGAAUUCCCUUCAUCACUGGGAGGAGAGCAGGAGCCAUACACUGUGUGUGAGGGGUGUGGGGACCAUUCCUACUGUCUCCCUCCCUCUGUUCUCCCCUAAAUGAUCCUGAGCCAGGAAGAGUGAUGCAGAAUGUCUCUCACCCUGUGGAAGAGUUGGUCAGGCUGGUCCUCAGACAACCAGGGAAGCUCUUGGGGUCCUGGAGAAUAGGCACAUAGCAGAUAAAAGGAGUUCUUAACCAAACUUCCCUAGAACGGAGGGAGCUAACAAGAAAGAACUUUGGAAAUCUACCCUCCUCUUUCCCUGUCACUGCCAGGAAUGUCACCAUGAGAGCAGUUUCAGUUAAUGAGCAAACUCCUCAGACAAGGCAGGAAGGCAGCUCUUGGGCCUCACUGUCAAGCACAGGAAGCGACUGGAUUCCACUUGCCCGGUGUAGGGAUGACAGCAGGUCAGCUCCUCUCCAAUUACCCAGAAUGGGUGAGAGUUGAAGAUCUAGAAACAGAUUGCUGAGGCAGGAGAACAAAUGGUGACCCCUGCGCCUGCCCACGUUCCUGGAGGAAAACAGGAGCCAGUAGAGAGUGAGCUGACUCGGUGUGACUCCCUUAACAUUGACACAAAAGAGAAACUAUCAUAGGUCAUGGGUACCAGCAUCCCCAGUUCUCAUCAGGAAGCAGUACCCCAGGGCACAUGUCCCACAGACUGCUGAAAGAGAUCUUGCUCAGGCCCCAGAGAACCUCCUAGCCCAUGCUGGAAGAGAAGGCCAUUCCAUCUGGGAAUCACAUGGCACUGGGUGGAGAGAGAACCGACUGGGCCUGACGCCUUGCAGAACCAGCAUCCAGCCUGUGUCCAAAGUGCUCCUGGAACCACAGAAUGUUUCAUGCCUCCAACCCUGCCCCCUCUGUCUGUCUGUCUGUUUGUCCAUCUGUCCAUCUGUCUCUCUCUCUCUCUCUCUCUCUCUCUCUCUCUCUCUCUCUGUGUGUGUGUGUGUGUGUGUGUUACAUACAUGUAUAACAUUCAACACUCACACUCAUGCUCUGGCCCAUGACUUUAUCCAUGUGCUCAGCAUCCUCCCAUCCAGAAAUCUCCAAGGCUCCCAACUGCACAGGCGACCAGCCUGAGUUCUCUGCCGGUCACUCCCAGGCUCCACCCAGCCCUUCCCCAGCCCCUUCACACAGCCCAGCUCAGCCAGGCAGGUCUCCCCUAGGGCACUAUUUUCGAGCACACUUUCUCUGCAGAUGUUCAGUCAUUUGCACCUGGGGCUGCUCUGCAUUUGUGCAUCAGCCUCAGUAGGGGUGUCUGAAUUGGGUGAGAGGGUGUGUCGGAGAAGAAUCCUGACUUGCAUUGGUUUGAGCAGAUAACGAAUAAAAAGUGUUCUCGCCGUGGAAAAAUCCAGACGGGUGUUGGCCCAGGCACAGCUCUAGGUCAAAAUUUUAAGAACCCCCACUCAUCUCUCUUGGCUGCCUUCACCUUCCUUAACCUCUGGACUAGCACCCAUCAAGAACCCCUCUAGGAGCCGGGUGGUGGUGGCACAUGCCUUUGAUCCCAGCACUUGGGAGGCAGAGGCAGGUGGAUUUCUGAGUUCGAGGCCAGCCUGGUCUACAGAGUGAGUUCUAGGACAGCCAGGGCUACACACAGAGAAACC
rnacentral:lncRNA from 1 species